GGAGCUGGUGUGGGCCAAAAGAGUCUCAAUUUUGGAGUCGUUUGCUACAGUGAGUGCGAAGCCGAAAGGGGGAGGGAAUGAAUGGGCGCUGGGAGAACGUCCGCGUUUUGGGGACGUUCCUGUUCUACUGAGGGGGUCUGUGUGAGCGACUGCAGGUCCGCCCGCCUUGCAGCAGCAUGGAGGAUGAUGCGCCGGUGAUCUACGGACUGGAGUUCCAGGCACGUGCUUUAACACCUCAAACUGCAGAAACAGAUGCCAUUCGGUUUUUGGUUGGCACACAGUCUCUUAAAUAUGAUAAUCAGAUCCACAUCAUAGAUUUUGACGAUGAAAAUAACAUUAUAAAUAAAAAUGUUCUCCUCCAUCAAGUGGGUGAAAUUUGGCACAUCAGUGCCAGUCCAGCAGAUAAAGGUGUGCUAGCGACCUGCUACAAUAAAACUUCAGACAGUAAAGUCCUGACGUGUGCCGCUGUGUGGAGGAUGCCGAAGGAAUUGGAAUCAGGCAGUCCUGAAUCCCCUGAUGAUUCAUCAAGCACCACGCAGACCCUGGAGCUACUCUGUCACCUUGACAACACAGCCCAUGGCAACAUGGCCUGUGUUGUAUGGGAGCCAAUGGGAGAUGGGAAGAAAAUCAUUUCAUUGGCUGAUAACCAUAUACUGCUGUGGGAUUUACAAGAAAGCUCCAGCAAAGCUGUGCUGGCCAGCUCAGCAUCUUUGGAAGGAAAAGGACAACUGAAGUUCACUUCGGGACGGUGGAGCCCACAUCACAACUGUACCCAGGUUGCCACAGCAAAUGACACCACCCUACGAGGAUGGGAUACUCGGACUAUGAGCCAGAUAUACUGCAUAGAGAAUGCCCACGGACAGCUGGUACGGGACCUCGACUUUAAUCCCAAUAAGCAGUACUACUUAGCUAGCUGUGGAGACGACUGUAGGGUGAAGUUCUGGGACACUAGAAAUGUCACUGAACCUGUGAAGACACUUGAGGAGCAUUCCCACUGGGUGUGGAAUGUCCGCUACAACCACUCUCACGAUCAGCUGAUCCUCACGGGCAGCAGUGACAGCAGAGUCAUCCUCUCAAACAUGGUGUCCAUUUCCUCCGAGCCCUUUGGCCAUCUGGUAGAUGAUGAUGACCUCAGUGAUCAGGAAGAACACCAUCAAGAAGAGAAGAAUAAAGAGCCUCUCCAGGACAGCGUCAUCGCAACCUAUGAAGAGCAUGAAGAUAGUGUGUAUGCGGUGGACUGGUCUUCCGCAGACCCGUGGCUGUUUGCCUCCUUAAGUUAUGAUGGAAGACUUGUUGUUAACAGGGUUCCCAGAGCACUGAAGUAUCACAUAUUGCUUUAAUUCGUUUGGAUGGCAUUCCUGCGGUAUCCUCUUGGCAGAUUCUCGAAAAUUCACGGCUAUUUGGAGGAGUCAGCCAUGUGGAUGAUCUGCAGGGAGAGUGUCCCAGCCAAGGAGACAGUGAAGACAAAGGCCCUAAGAUGGAACAGCAAGAAGGUUAGUGUGGCUGAGGUGUGGUAAACAAGAUGGCAGACAUGCUCAAAGACGGGGCACACCUAUGUGAGGCCUUGAAGGACUUUGACUUUUACUCCAAGUGAGGUGGAAAGCCACUGAAGGACUGUGAACAGAGGCAAGAACUGAUCUUUUGAAUUAUAAGUCGUUUAUUAUUUUUGUUUUGGUUUUGAUAUACAAUGCUGUGAAUUUUCAUACUCAUAGAUUCAUGUAACUACUAUCAGGAUCAGGAUACAGAACAGUUCCAUCACCCCAAGACAUUCCCUUACACUAUCGCUUUGUAGUCAAACCCUCCCCCAAGCCCUAAGCCCUGGCAGUCUUCAUCUGUUCUCCGUCACUAUUGGUUGUCUUUUGGAGAAUGUCACAUAAAUGAAAUCACACAGUAUGUACCUUUUGAGGCUGGCUGCUUCACUUAGCAUAAUGCCUGUAAGAUUCUUCCAAGUUGUAGUAUGUGUCAAUAUUUCAUUGCUUUUUAGUGCUAAGUACUAUUCCCUUGUAUGAAUGGUCCACAGUUUGUCUAUCCAGUCACCAUUGAAGGGCAUUCGUGUUUCCAAUUUUUGCUGGUUAGGAAUAAAACUGCUAUAAAUAUUCAUUGAUAGGUAUUUAUGUAAACAUAAGUUUUCAUUUCUCUUGGGCAAAGUUUGGCAAACUGUGACCCACACAAGCCAAAUCCAUUCCACUUCCUGUUUUUGUAAAUAAAGUUCAUUAGAACACAGCUGUAUUCAUUCAUUUACAUAUUGUCUAUGGCUGUUGUCACACUGCACUGGCAGAAUUGAGUAGUUGCGGCAGAGACUGUUGCAAAGCCUAAAAUACUUACUACCUGGCCCUUUACAGAAGAAGUAUGCCCACCUCUGCUCUAAGGUAAAUACAAGUAGGAUUGCUGUGUUGUAGGGUAAGUGUAUGUUUAACUUUGUAAGAAACUACUAUACUUUUUUCAGAGUAGGGUUACAAUUUUGAAUUCCCAUCAGCCGUAUAUGAGUGACCCAGUUUUUCUACAUCUUUGCCAGCACGUGGUGUUUUCAGUGUUUUUUAUUUUAGCCGUCUAAUAGGUGUGUAGUAGAAUAUAUCAUUGUGGUUUGAGUUGCGUUACCCUAAUGGCGAAUUGGUCGCUGUAGGGUCACUAUGAGUUGGAAUCAACUUGACAACAGUGGGUUUGGUUUGGGUGUUUUGGUGAUGGCUAAUGACAUUGAGCAAUUUUUGUGUGCUUAUUUGCCAUCUAUAUAUCUUCUUUGAGGAAGUGUUUGUAGAAGUCUUUUGUACAUUUUAAACAUUAAACUGUGUGUUUAAUUCUGUUUGUUUUGAGAACUCUUUAUGUAUUCUGGAUACAAGUCCUCAGUCAGGUAUGUGAUUUGCAAAUAUGUU